rfam:Gossypium arboreum cultivar AKA8401 contig_1430_3, whole genome shotgun sequence.
UGUUAAAAUUUUCAUCCACUUCUAUUGUUAAAAGUUGGCAUGGCUGACGAAAUAAUCAGAUAAGUACACGUGGCAUGCCAUGUGUGCCUUAUUUUGAUACACAAAAACCAGCUUUUAACAAUAAAAAUUGAUGGAAAUUAUAACA